AGUAAUAAAGAAUGUGAUAAAGAAAGUCCCUUCCAGCGUAAAAGCAUUUCCAUGGAACCUGUUACGAGCACAGAUUUAAUGUAUUAACAUAAUCCAAAUGUUUAAAUAUUAGGCACAUUAGACAAACGCAUACCAUCAAAUUUAUUUAUUAGAGCCAUUAGACAAUUUUAAUUCCUGAAUUUCCACAAACAGAAACCCAAACCACUUGGAUCAUUUGAUCACUUUUCCUAGUUCUAUGAAAAUUACAGUUCAAGUUGACGUUAUUUAUUUAAGUCACAGAGGAAAUUAAGUACUUCCUUUAAGAAACAUGUUUGUGUGACUGACAUAAUUUUAAACCCAUUCAACUGGACUUAUGACAUUAAUAACUAAAUAAUAACAAUAGUAAAAACUGGUAGUAAUAAUAAUCUCCACCACCAGCAUGUCAUUUUAAAAAAUGAUAAUGAAAAAUGCAGACUCUCUGAAUGGAUCAGACAUUAAGAGCCAGAGAAACAUUAAAGUUUUUAAUUUUUACAGUUGUUUGAAGACACAAAUCAGAUGCUAGUUUAUUCAGCGUACCAUAGUUCAUUUAGUACAAAAAACACAAUACCGUCUCUGUGGUCUUAUAGGUCAUGGUUCCUGUAGGACACAUUAUGCAAGGACACUAUGUUACUCUAGUACUGCUUUGAGAACAGCCUCUUGAUUCUACUGGUAUGAAAGACAAGUGUAAAUAAAGCACCUUGUUGAAAAGGAAGGUCUAAAUGCUACACGGCAAGAAAUGAAAUCUCUCUCUCUCCCUCUCUCUCUCUCUCUCUCACACACCCCUCUCUGUCUCUCGCUUUAUUGGAGCUGACACAUUUUCUCUGCUCAUUAGAGCUGAGUGGCAGUGAAUUCCCUACAGCUGCGUGGGACAGUCCUGUAGCCUGCCCCACAAUCGUGUUCUCCUGCUACACAUUUGCUUGAGAGUUGUUUUCCCUGGCGACUCCCGGCUUCCGUUCCCAGGCUGGGAGGUGGGCCAGUGGCCACAGUACACAUACUUUCCAGCUCUGAAGGCCAGCGGAGGCUCCUCCUGUCCAAAUAGCCCUGCAGGAAGAACUCCACUCCUGAUCACUGCCACUGCUCCACACUGUCACUCCACUUCACAGACCUGUGAUCAGAGAAUGGUUACGGUGGAUCCAGAGUCUAUCCCAGGAACACUGGGUGCAAGAUGGCGGGAAUACACCCUGGAUGGGAUGCAGAGCAUGUGAGCAGAGUGGAGCAGAUAGCGGAGCACUGAUAAUUCCACCUUUCUUAAGAUUCCGAAAACUGAGAAAUAGGCGGCUGUGGCUCAGUUGGUAGAGCGGGUUGCCUGCUAAUAGGGUUGGCGGUUCGAUUCCUGGCCCGGGUGACUCCACAUGUCGAAGUGUCCUUGGGCAAGACACUGUACCCCAAAUUGCUCCCGAUGGUAAGCUAGCAUGGCAACUCCUGCUACCACUGGGGUGUGUGUGUGAAUGGGUGAAUGAGACACAGUGUAAAGUGCUUUGGAUAAAAGUGCUAUAUAAGUGUGCCAUUUACCAUUUAAAUAGGAAUUAAAAAUUAAUAGAAAUGAAUAAAAGGCACAGAAUGUCACACACAAAAAUGAUUAUCUCUACUAAUGUAAUUGAGGCAUUUAUUCAAGAAAAUAGAAACAAGUAUAUUACAGAGAAAUUUUAUGUCAGAGCAGGAUUUGAGCGAACUUUGUUUUAUCGGUGAGCGUGAGCAGUACGAGUGGAGUGUUUGCUUGGGACGUGAGUGAUUGAGCAGAGCGCACUUGCAUAGAGCAGAUUAUUGAGUUCAGUGUCACACUGCUCCGUUUCACCCACAUGCUUUGAUGGGGUGCCAUGACACCAUGCUCGCACAUAUUUAUAUACUCAUGCAUGCUAAGGGGCAAUUUAUCUUAGCCUGACCACCUACUGGCAUGUUUUUGUGAGGUUGGAGGAAACUGGAGGAAACCCAGAGAGAACUGGCUUGAACCCUGGAGCUGUGAGGUGGCAAUGCUACCUGCUGAAACACCAUGCUACUUUUGUUGGGAACUCAACAUAUAAUAACAAGUACCUUCACCACUCCUGUUAGUACCCACCAAUUAAUUUCCAAUCUAUCCCCUGGACCCAGGCAUUUUGAAAGAGUUCUCAUAAUGCCCCUGUCUACACCUAUAAAGCUCAUCAUUCAUUCAUUUUCACUAACCACUUUAUCCUGGUCAAUGUUGUGCUGAAUUCAUAGCUCAUCCCUGGAACACUAGAAAUACACUCUGGAUGGGGCACCAGUAAAUCGCAGGACACCACAAACACAUCUGCAUACAUGAAUGUGCGUGGCAAUUAUAAAGAAAGAGUAGAGUGAGAGGAAACUAGAAGAAACCCACGUGGUCACAGGAAGAACACGUGAUUCUCCACACACAGUAAUGCGAGCUCAUGGUCAAACUGGGGAUAGUGGAACUGUGAGGCGGCACCGUUACCUGCUGCACCACUGUGUAAACCCCUUACAGAAGUCACAUAUUACUCGCACAAAUAAACAUGCAAUUCAGAAACUAAAUACACUGUAAAAUAAAGUUCACAUCCAUUGAACAUUCCCAUUUGUGCACGUGAAAACUAGUCUGUUAAUCACCGAGCCAACAGAUUUAGCCAAAGCAACGACACAGCCAGUGUCUUACAUCACAAUAAUUAAACAUCUUGAGUGUACACGAGGCCGUCUUUGACCAUGCUGUGAGUUUCAUCCUACUUUUUCUUACUCAGUCAGUAAAUUGCCACACAGCACACCAUGGUUUCAUGUAGGCACCAAGCUGAAGCUGAACAUCAGUCUACUAGGCUUUUAUGUGAUGUGAGUAAAACACUAAUCCAUGCAAAUUGCAUAAUGAUAGGGGCACUGAUUUGCACAUUUGGUAGACUUUUAUGUCAGUGCAGUAAUCAUUUGCAGAGGCUGUAUGGUAGUAAAGCCAAAAAGCAGCUGUGG